GCAACCUGAGGAAUUCUAACAUAGAGAAAGUGGCCUAAUGAAGGACUGUUGAAGGCGGAGUAGAAAAGGUCUUCUCUGGGCUGCUGUGGGAUAUAUCAUGAUCUGCUUCCAGACUUGCAGUGGGGAAGAAGAUGCUUUUUCCAAGGUUCUUCUCCAUUGAACUAAGCAGAGAAGUGAUUCACUUGCUAGCACCUGAUGACUUCUGGGAGGAAAAGAAAAUUAUUUAA
rnacentral:lncRNA from 1 species